UACGUAGGGGGCUAGCGUUGUCCGGAUUUAUUGGGCGUAAAGAGCGUGUAGGCGGCCAUGUAGGUCCGGUGUGAAAACUCGAGGCUUAACCUCGAGAUGUCAUCGGAAACCAUUUGGCUAGAGUCCGGAAGAGGAGAGUGGAAUUCCUGGUGUAGCGGUGAAAUGCGCAGAUAUCAGGAAGAACACCAAUGCGAAAGCAGCUCUCUGGGACGGUACUGACGCUGAGACGCGAAAGCGUGGGGAGCGAACAGG
rnacentral:rRNA from 1 species